ACGAGAAAGUUCCUUCGGGAGCAAUUAAAGUGGCGCACGGGUGAGUAACGCGUAGACAAUCUGCCCUUCAGUCUGGGACAACUUUUCGAAAGGAGAGCUAAUACCGGAUAACAAUGCAUGACACAAGUUGUAUAUUUGAAAGCUUUAUGUGCUGAAGGAGGGGUCUGCGUCCCAUUAGCUAGUUGGUAAGGUAAAGGCUUACCAAGGCAACGAUGGGUAGCGGGUUUGAGAGGACGAUCCGCCACACUGGAACUGAGACACGGUCCAGACUCCUACGGGAGGCAGCAGUGGGGAAUAUUGCACAAUGGAGGAAACUCUGAUGCAGCAAUGUCGCGUGAGUGAAGAAGGCCCUUGGGUCGUAAAGCUCUUUUAUGGGGGAAGAUGAUGACGGUACCCCAAGAAUAAGCACCGGCUAACUAUGUGCCAGCAGCCGCGGUAAUACAUAGGGUGCGAGCGUUGUUCGGAAUUACUGGGCGUAAAGGGCGCGCAGGCGGAAUAGUAAGUCGGAGGUGAAAGCCCGGGGCUCAACCCCGGAGGGUCUUUCGAAACUACUAAUCUAGAGAGGGUCAGGGGCCGGCAGAAUUCCUGGUGUAGAGGUGAAAUUCGUAGAUAUCAGGAGGAAUACCGGUGGCGAAGGCGGCCGGCUGGGGCCACUCUGACGCUGAGGCGCGAAAGCGUGGGGAGCAAACAGGAUUAGAUACCCUGGUAGUCCACGCCGUAAACGAUGAGCACUGGACGUCCGGAGGGUUCGACCCUUCUGGGUGUCUCAGCUAACGCAUUAAG
rnacentral:rRNA from 1 species